CGUCGUGCCACUGGCGAACGCCAGGCCCGGACAGGACCGCGGCUUGUGGGGGUGUCAGGACCCGGCGGGUUUGGGAUUUAAAUCCAGCGAGCGCUGCUGGAUCUGCCACAUCCUGCAAUGAGACACGUUCUCUGGGCUGCACCCCGAGCGUCUUCAACCCGACAAGCCAGGACAGCUUGGGCUGUGCAGGCUGGUCAUUCCCGCACAGCUGGGAAUGACACUGGAACACGCAGCCUGGAUGAGUGCGGGGGUCUCCAAGUGUGUGUGUGAGCAGAGAUCAGGGCAGUUAGUGCCCUAAUGCCGAUGCUGAGUCAUCUCAAACCAAAUGCUUUGGAUUGCAAUCAAAUUGGUAGCCAUCAUGGAUUAUGUAUCACCAGUAACAGGCAAAGACCAAGUAGAAGUGGAAGAGCCAUGUAUCUGAAGAACAUCUUUAUGCUGUUUAUAAAGCAUCUCUGAAGGGUUUCAACACUGAAAUAGCUUUGAUUGUUUAAUAAAUGCAGUUAAUUUAUUAAAUGAACA
rnacentral:lncRNA from 14 species